rnacentral:rRNA from 1 species
CUGGCUCAGGAUGAACGCUAGCGAUAGGCCUAACACAUGCAAGUCGAGGGGCAGCACAUGAGUAGCAAUACGAUGGUGGCGACCGGCGCACGGGUGAGUAACACGUAUGCAACCUACCUUUAACAGGGGAAUAACCCGUUGAAAAACGGACUAAUGCCCCAUGACACAGGGGUCCCGCAUGGGAAUAUUUGUUAAAGAUUAAUCGGUUGAAGAUGGGCAUGCGUUCCAUUAGCUUGUUGGUGAGGUAACGGCCCACCAAGGCAACGAUGGAUAGGGGAACUGAGAGGUUUAUCCCCCACACUGGAACUGAGACACGGUCCAGACUCCUACGGGAGGCAGCAGUGAGGAAUAUUGGUCAAUGGACGAGAGUCUGAACCAGCCAAGUCGCGUGCAGGAAGAAUGUCCUAUUGGAUUAGUAAACUGUCUUUUGCGAAGGGGAAUAAAGUGCAUCACGUGUGAUUGUUUUGUAUGUACUCUGCGAAUAAGGAUCGGCUAACUCCGUGCCAGCAGCUGC